UUUGCAACACCCAUCAGGUGAUUGCAUCUACCUUGCAAGCUUUCAAUGGCUCUACGAGCAAAAUUUAUGCCAUCUUCUGCACAUUCUAAGCUUUCAGCACAGAUUCUUGAAGCCAGUAACAAACCUGGAACACAAGUGGGAUCCUCGGCACUACUCAAUAGUUUCCGCAACAAGUUCAAGGCGGUGAAAUUAUCUCCUUUUCCGUAAUAACAGAGAGCUAACAUAUGAUGCCUUUCACACAGAUCUAUAUUCCUAGGAAGCAACUCUUCUACUUGGUUUGCCAGAGCCCAUAGGCCACCUGAGAUAGAUAA
rnacentral:misc_RNA from 1 species